GUUUUUUUUGUUGUUUUUUUUUUUUGCUCAUAACUGGUCCUUUGGUGCCCUCUGGUGAUACAGCUCAUGAAAACAAGUACUAGAUCGCUAAUUCUCUCUCUCACACUAUAGUAUUGCCAUCUAAUGUACACAGUUUACAACACCAAAAUGCAGAAAGAAAAAUUACCCACAAGAAUAAUUGUACACUUAUCAGUUUAUUUAGUCUUGCCUCACAUAAAAAUUGCUAAAAGCUUUGAGUUGAGAGUGGUAAUGUAAGAGAAAGCAAUCUCUAACUUUGUGGGGUUUUUUUUUUGUUUGUUUGUUUUUUUAGUUUUUAGAACAUGAGACACCUUCUCACUCUGUCACCCAGGCUGCAGUGUAGUGAUGUAAUCUGCACUCACUCUGGCCUGGACCUCCCAGGCUCCAGCAAUCCUCCCACCUCAGCUCCUUGAGUAGCUGGGAACACAGGAAGGCGCCACCCCGCCCUGCUAAUUUUUGUAUUUGUAGAGAUGAGAUUUCACUAUGUUGCCUGGGCUGGUGUUGAACUCCUGAGCUCAAGUGAUCCACCCACCUCAGCCUCCCGAAGUGCUGGGAUUUACAGAUGUGAUCCACUGCACCCAGCAGCAAUGUCUAACUUCAUAAACUGAGACUAUGCUAAUCAGUGACAAAGAACAAAAUUUUUAAAUUUCUAAUAGACUAACAAAUAAAUCAGUCUUACCACUUCUCUGUGCAGAUUGCCAGUAAAUCUCCUUUCAUUGAAACAAGGCAAAUAAAUUAAACAUGGUGAAUAACCCACUGACAGAAAGCAUGGUAUUUUUCUGGGCAAUCUGAACUACAAAUUGGCUGACAACAGGAAACAGUAUGGCCCUACACUACAUGAUUUUCUAUCAUUAAAACUAUGGAAAUAUUUUCCUUGUCCUCAUGUCCUCAUAGAUAUGUCUCUUUUAAAUAGCAUAGAGCUGGAUUUUUAAAAUCCAAUCUGGUAAGCUAUUUAAAUUUAAAUUGGUGGUUAUAGUGAUUAAUAAUGUAGUUGGGCUUGUUUUGCCCCUCUUAUUCAUGUAUAAUGUAUUUUUAUACUUGUUUUGUUCAUAUUGUUUUAUUUUGAAUUAAUUGAAUCUUUGUCUUUAUUUUAUUAUUUUGUAUUCAUUGAUUUAAAAAAUUUUAUGUUAACCUUGAAAUACUGUCAUGCAGAUUUAAUAAAUUCUUAAGCUAA
rnacentral:lncRNA from 1 species